CCCCUGUCCGUUUGUAUGGUCUCUUUCCUUUGAUGACAGAGAAUUUGAGUUGAAACUGAAGCAGAACAACAAUGGAGCACAACCUCCGAUAAUCAUGAGAAUUCAUCUUCAUCAGCACUGUUGUCAAGCACGUGAACUUCCUCAAGUGACGGAACAACAAUGGAGCACAAACUCCGAUAAUCUUGAGAAUUCAUCUUCAUCAGCACUCUUGUCAGGCAGGUGAAAUUCCUCGAGUGACGGAACAACAAUGGAGCACAACCUCUGAUAAUCUUGAGAAUUCAUCUUCAUCAGCACUGUUGUCAGGCAGGUGAACUUCCUUGAGUGACGGAUUUGCCUAUUUAUUCAUCUGUUGAAUAUGAUCAUCAUCUAUGAAUGUGUGCAUUUCAUCUUCAGGAGCUUAUUCAGGGGAACCUCUUCAUCAGCACUGUUGUCAAGCACGUGAACGUCCUCAAGUGACGGAACAACAAUGGAGCACAACCUCCGAUAAUCUUGAGAAUUCAUCUUCAUCAGCACUGUUGUCAAGCACGUGAACUUCCUCAAGUGACGGAACAACAAUGGAGCACAACCUCCGAUAAUCUUGAGAAUUCAUAUUCAUCAGCACUCUUGUCAGGCAGGUGAACUUCCUCGAGUGACGGAAAAACAAUGGAGCACAACCUCUGAUAAUCUUGAGAAUUCAUCUUCAUCGGCACUGUUGUCAGGCAGGUGAACUUCCUCGAGUGACGGAACAACAAUGGAGCACAACCUCUGAUAAUCUUGAUAAUUCAUCUUCAGCACUGUUGUCAGGCAGGUGAACUUCCUUGAGUGACGGAUUUGCCUAUUUAUUCAUCUGUUAAAUAUGAUCAUCAUCUAUUAAUGUGUGUAUUUCAUCUUCAGGAGCUUAUUCAUGGGAACCUCUUAAUCAACUCUGUUGUCAAGCACGUGAACUUCCUUAAGUGGCGGAACAACAAUGGAGCACAACCUCUGAUAAUCUUGAGAAUUCAUCUUCAUCAGCACUGUUGUCAAGCACGUGAACUUCUUCAAGUGACGGAACAACAAUGGACCACAAACUCCGAUAAUCUUGAGAAAUUAUUUUCAUCAGCACUCUUGUCAGGCAGGUGAACUUCCUCGAGUGACGGAACAACAAUGGAGCACAACCUCUGAUAAUCUUGAUAAUUCAUCUUCAGCACUGUUGUCAGGCAGGUGAACUUCCUUGAGUGACGGAUUUGCCUAUUUAUUCAUCUGUUGAAUAUGAUCAUCAUCUAUUAAUGUGUGUAUUUCAUCUUCAGGAGCUUAUUCAUGGGAACCUCUUAAUCAACUCUGUUGUCAAGCACGUGAACUUCCUUAAGUGGCGGAACAACAAUGAAGCACAACCUCCGAUAAUCUUGAGAAUUCAUCAUCAUCAGCACUCUUGUCAGGCAGGUGAACUUCCUCGAGUGACGGAACAACAAUGGAGCACAACCUCUGAUAAUCUUGAGAAUUCAUCUUCAUCAGCACUGUUGUCAGGCAGGUGAACUUCCUCGAGUGACGGAUUUGCCUAUUUAUUCAUCUGUUGAAUAUGAUCAUCAUCUAUGAAUGUGUGCAUUUCAUCUUCAGGAGUUUAUUCAGGGGAACCUCUUCAUCAGCACUGUUGUCAAGCACGUCAAGAACGUGAAUGUCCUCAAGUGACGGAACAACAAUGGAGCAUAACCUCCGAUAAUCUUGAGAAUUCAUCUUCAUCAGCCGUCUUGUCAGGCACGUGGACUUCCUCAAGUGACGGAACAACAAUGGAGCACAACCUCAAUCUUGAGAAUUCAUCUUCAUCAGCACUCUUGUCAGGCACGUGAACUUCCUCAAGUGACGGAACAAAAAUGGAGCACAACCUCCGAUAAUCUUGAGAAUUCAUCUUCAUCAGCACUGUUGUCAAGUACGUAAACUUCCUCAAGUGACGGAACAACAAUGGACCACAAACUCCGAUAAUCUUGAGAAUUCAUCUUCAUCAGCACUCUUGUCAGGCAGGUGAACUUCCUCGAGUGACGGAACAACAAUGGAGCACAACCUCUGAUAAUCUUGAUAAUUCAUCUUCAGCACUGUUGUCAGGCAGGUGAACUUCCUUGAGCGACGGAUUUGCCUAUUUAUUCAUCUGUUGAAUAUGAUCAUCAUCUAUUAAUGUGUGUAUUUCAUCUUCAGGAGCUUAUUCAUGGGAACCUCUUAAUCAACUCUGUUGUCAAGCACGUGAACUUCCUUAAGUGGCGGAACAACAAUGGAGCACAACCUCCGAUAAUCUUGAGAAUUCAUCAUCAUCAGCACUCUUGUCAGGCAGGUGAACUUCCUCGAGUGACGGAACAACAAUGGAGCACAACCUCUGAUAAUCUUGAGAAUUCAUCUUCAUCAGCACUGUUGUCAGGCAGGUGAACUUCCUCGAGUGACGGA